AGUCAGGGACUUUCCAGGAAUUGUGAUUGCAGAGAAGCUAGAGUGGAAAGACUGUAUUCAAGGUUCAAAUGCUGUUGUAAAUUUGGCUGGAAUGCCCAUAAGUACAAGAUGGUCUCUUGAGAUUUUCCCUCUACUGCUCUCCAGCCCUGUUCUUCUUCUUCCAUACCCUCGCUCCCGAAACUGCUGCUCUCCAACCGAGAUUUUUUGCAGCUACAGGUUCAAAUAGGGGCCUCCGAUUCCUCUAGACAAUCACAAAUUUAUUGUGUAUGAUCUUUCCAUUUUACUUUUUGUUUGAACCCUUUACUAAUUUACCUAAUUUAUAUAUUUGCAAUUUGUUCUUCAAGACUCAAUCUUUUGUUUGUAAAGGUUUUAUCUGAUCGGAAUUUGGAUUUGAAUUCAUCUGCAAUCUAUG